AGAGCAGUCCGUCUUCAAGGUCCAGAUAACAUGAGAAAUGAAGCUUCUCACAUCGUUGUUGGGGAUGACGGACUGUAGUUGAUGGGUUAGCGGAAUUUUAAACUGAUCACCUGGGGAUGAGAGCAAUGGGUAACUGAAGCUUUUGGGCUCGGGGGACAGGUCAGUGCCCACGUUGUUGUAUUCCCAUUUUGUCUCAGUUUGUUUAACAGUUGGCUCUAAGUUGAAUGCAGUCCUAGUGGGAAUCUGCCUCAGGAAGAUGAUUGUAGUUUGUGUUUUCAGAGAUGGUGCCUUCUGGCAUAGUAGUGUUUUCCAUAAAAACGUUUUCUUUAGAGGCAUUUCUUGCAGUUGUGUUUUUUACAGUAGUGUUUUCUAUAAAACGUUCUGAAGGAGCAAAUACUUCCGGAAAAGGGUUUUCUUGAGGACUCAGGUCUCCUGAGGAUGAAAAAGCCCCUUGUGAAGGGGAAUUUAUGAGGCUCUUCGCUGCAGAGAACGGCGGCCUCUUUGUGAGCAUCAGUCUAUUGAGAUAACUUUUCUUUCUCAAUUUUCUAAUCUUUUUGGCCUUGGGUGUUCUGUGGGCCACACGGGAGUGAGUUUUAUGAAAGUGGUAUUUUUUUUCUGGAAUGUACGACUCGUUUAGCAGCCUUCAUAUUUUUUAACUCCAGCCUUUGCAUUUUCUAAAAUUAAAAUGGUGUAGGCUAAGUCUUUCGAUCUGUCUAUGACCUGAGGUAGGGCUUUUGCAGUUGUGGAAGGCAGAAGGCAUGCCCAUGGAGAAGGGUUUCAGCAAAGAGGAGACUGUUAGCUUCUGCUCUUGGGUGAAUGAAGGCUUGGUGUAGAUGGCGUUUCCCGCUAUGUUCUCGGGCCCCUGCACUAUGUGAGGCUAUUCCAGCUCCCUUGGGGCUGGACUCCCGAGCCUUUUUUCUUUGGCAGCAUUCUCCCCAAAUGCUUGGGCACCCUGUUCCCUCCUGAUACUCUGCUUUCCCACCUCUUUGAAGGGCCUUUUCUGGAUGUUCCUUGGGCCCAUGAGGACUCUGUUCACUCUCUGCAGGUUUUUGCCUACACUUUGAACCUUUGCCAGGCUGUUUUCCUGUGGUUGGACAGUUUCUAAUUUCUUUUCAAAUAUUUGGCAUUUAAAUUUGUUACCUAGAAGGCUGGACUGCAUAAGCAUGGCAGUUUUUUCUUCCCUUUUAACUUCAUCGAUUUUUUUCUUGUAUUUCUGCAUCUAACAUCUUUUCUAGCAAAUACGCCUUUCUCAAUUUAUUUUCAUAAGUUGAAUUGUUGGAUGCAGGUUGAAACAAGGGGCUCUUUGUAUUGUUUUUCAAAACAGGAGCUUAUCUCCAUCUUGCACAUUUGAAAAAAGCAGUUUAAUGAAUGGUAACAACAUUGAUUCCGCAUCUAGAUUUCCUGCUGAGAAAUAAGGCAAGAUGUAAUUUAGCGCAGUGAUAACAUCACUCUUAUCAUAAGUGUCUAGCUGCUCACUCCCAAAGACUGACAAGUUGAUGCCACUGCUGUCUGAGGCUGCCUCCGGCUCAGUCGUCAGCUCAAUGCUCAUGUGCUUCUUCCGGGCUUGUAACACCUUCAUGAACACUCUUUCUGGAUUCCCUACAGAUGCUUCUUCACCUGUCAAAAAAAAGAGACUGCUUUGAUCAUGAAAGAUAAUGGAACGGCAUGCAUCAGUCCACAGCUGUAUGCCCCAGUCACACAAAGUAGGAGUCAGCAAACAUUAGAGUGCCAUUUAGAGAGGAGAAACACACACCCAAGCCUAAACCUAUGAAAUGGCAACAACAAAAGGAGGAAAAGACAUCUUUUGAAAAUAUGGCUACCUACUUGGAACAUUCCUAGUGUGACAUAGAGUAACUCUGAUUAGGAUUAUUUCGUUGAUCCCCAGGGGCCAAUUGCCCAGUGCUCAGUCAAAGCCCAAGGUGGAAGACAAGUGCUUCCCUGAUGAGCUGAUGAGCUGUCCUCUCUGCAGACUGCUCCGUACCCUGUGCUGUCCUGCCUCAGAUGCAGAGAGAGCACAAGGCUCCCUCCUCAUCCUCAGUGUGCCUGUGUUCUUGCUACCAUCACAGCUGAAUGCAAUGAAAGGCUAUCCUCUGAGAGGAGCAGGGUGGAGAUGCUAAAGUGGAGGCCCCCUCCCAUUGCUGAUAGAUCCUCAUCUGGCAUGCACUCCACCCACCCACCCCAUUCUCUGCUACCACAUAUCGUAGCCCCAUUAAAGAAGACGCGACACGGAAAAAACACUGUGCCCACCCUAGUCCUUUUCUUAAAUUUGGGCAGAGAUCCAGGGUAUAGGUUAAGAGAUUUUUAAUUUGCCAGAUGGUAUGCCUAUGUUGUUAAAUAUACAAUGAAUCUAUGGUAUGAUAGCAGUUUCUGGAUAAACAUUACUUGAGGUCCUAAAAUGCAGAAGGGAAAAAGCAGCUUUUGUCAGAUGCUUACUUUGCUUUCAUUUCAUCUCUAAUAUUUUGGAUGGGGAACCAUCCAAAGCUUCUGGCCACAUGAAGGUCAAGUGUGCCAGUGUGCAGCUGGGUUUCUUUUCCAGAAUUAAAAGUAUUUUGGGUGGUGCUGAGGGUCAGAGGAAGAAGUAAAAGUUGUGAGAAAGGAGAAACAUGGGCUUGGGGAGAACCCAGAAUUGGGGACAGAAGACCUGGCACUAAGCUAUAGCACUUAGCACCUCUGAUCUUGUUUUUCCUCAUCUGUAAAAGGAGAUUAACAAUGCUUUUCUGCCCACCUCUUGGGGAGAAGGGAAUAAUUUAGUUGGUAAAAAAAAAAUGUUUUGAAAAAUAAGCAACUCUGUCUUUAUAUAAGUAGCCAAGCAUUAUUAAUUAUCCACCCCAUAUCACUGGUAGAUACCUGUAUUCAAGCUAUGUGGACAUAAAAGCAGUCACAUUUUAGAAGUCAUGAAGUUGGUGCUAAUAAACCUAAUCUACAGAAAAA
rnacentral:lncRNA from 1 species